rnacentral:rRNA from 1 species
AUUGAACGCUGGCGGCAUGCUUUACACAUGCAAGUCGAACGGUAACAGGCCGCAAGGUGCUGACGAGUGGCGAACGGGUGAGUAAUGCAUCGGAACGUGCCCAGUCGUGGGGGAUAACGCAGCGAAAGCUGUGCUAAUACCGCAUACGAUCUAUGGAUGAAAGCGGGGGACCGUAAGGCCUCGCGCGAUUGGAGCGGCCGAUGUCAGAUUAGGUAGUUGGUGGGGUAAAGGCCUACCAAGCCGACGAUCUGUAGCUGGUCUGAGAGGACGACCAGCCACACGGGGACUGAGACACGGCCCAGACUCCUACGGGAGGCAGCAGUGGGGAAUUUUGGACAAUGGGCGCAAGCCUGAUCCAGCAAUGCCGCGUGCAGGAAGAAGGCCCUCGGGUUGUAAACUGCUUUUGUACGGAACGAAACGGUCUGGGUUAAUACCCUGGGCUAAUGACGGUACCGUAAGAAUAAGCACCGGCUAACUACGUGCCAGCAGCCGCCGCCGUAA